rnacentral:rRNA from 1 species
GAUGAACGCUGGCGGCGUGCCUAAUACAUGCAAGUCGAGCGAACAGACGAGGAGCUUGCUCCUCUGACGUUAGCGGCGGACGGGUGAGUAACACGUGGAUAACCUACCUAUAAGACUGGGAUAACUUCGGGAAACCGGAGCUAAUACCGGAUAAUAUAUUGAACCGCAUGGUUCAAUAGUGAAAGACGGUUUUGCUGUCACUUAUAGAUGGAUCUCCGCCGCAUUAGCUAGUGGGUAGGGUAACGGCUUACAAAGGCAACGAUGCGUAACCGGCCUGAGAGGGGGAACCGGCACACUGGAAAGUGGAAAAGGGCCCGAACCCUACGGGAGGCAGAAGUGGGGAAUUUUGGCCAAUGGGGGAAAGCCUGAACCAGCCAUGCCGCGUGUGUGAAGAAGGUCUUCGGAUUGUAAAACCCUUUUAGUUGGGAGGAAAAGAAGUGAGAAAAAACCUUGCUGUUUUGACGGUACCCAAAGAAGAAGCCCCGGCUAACUUCGGG